UCUCUUUUGGGAUCUAAUUGCCGUGGUU
rnacentral:piRNA from 1 species